UCCGGUUGAUCCUGCUGGAGGCUACUGCUAUUGGGAUUCGAUUAAGCCAUGCGAGUCGAGAGGGUUAGACCCUCGGCAUACUGCUCAGUAACACGUGGAUAACCUACCCUCAGAUGGGGGAUAAUCUCGGGAAACUGAGGAUAAUACCCCAUAGGUCUUCGGUGCUGGAAUGCCCCUAGACUGAAAGCUCCGGCGUCUGAGGAUGGGUCUGCGACCUAUCAGGUUGUAGUUGGUGUAAAGGACCAACUAGCCUUCGACGGGUACGGGCGUUGAGAGACGUAGCCCGGAGAUGGACUCUUAGACACCAGUCCAGGCCCUACGGGGCGCAGCAGGCGCGAAAACUUCGCAAUGUGGGAAACCGCGACGAGGGAAUCCCAAGUGCGUGCACAAUGUGUACGCUGAUUCCUUGUCUAAAAAACAAGGAGAGUAAGGGCUGGGUAAGACCGGUGCCAGCCGCCGCGGUAAUACCGGCAGCUCUAGUGGUAGCCGUUUUUAUUGGUCUUAAAGCAUCCGUAGCCGGUCGGGUAAAUCCCUGGGUAAAUCGUACAGCCCAACUGUGCGAAUUCCGGGGACACUGCCUGACUUGGGACCGGGAGAGGUUAGUUACUCUUUGGGUAGGGGUAAAAUCCUGUAAUCCUUAGAGGACGACCAGUGGCGAAGGCGUCUAACCAGAACGGUUCCGACGGUGAGGGAUGAAGCCCUGGGGCACGAACGGGAUUAGAUACCCCGGUAGUCCAGGGUGUAAACGCUGCAGACUUAGUGUUGGUUGUCCUACGAGGGCAACCAGUGCCGGAGAGAAAUUGUUAAGUCUGCCGCCUGGGGAGUACGCUCGCAAGAGUGAAACUUAAAGGAAUUGGCGGGGGAGCACAGCAACGGGUGGAGCGUGCGGUUUAAUUGGAUUCAACGCCGGAAACCUCACCGGGGAAGACUGUUACAUGAAGGCCAGGCCGAUGACCUUGCCUAAUUUUCAGAGAGGUGGUGCAUGGCCGCCGUCAGUUCGUACCGUAAGGCGUUCUGUUAAGUCAGAUAACGAACGAGACCCUCGUCUUUAUUUGCUCGCGACCCUCCGGGGGAGCAGCACUAUAAAGGGACCGCCUCUGCUAAAGAGGAGGAAGGAGAGGGCAACGGUAGGUCAGUAUGCCCCGAAUUUCCCGGGCUACACGCGCGCUACAAAGGGCGGGACAAUGGGCUGCAACAUCGAAAGGUGACGCCAAUCCCGAAACCCGCUCAUAGUUCGGACUGUGGGCUGCAAUUCGCCCUCACGAAGCUGGAAUCCGUAGUAAUCGCGAGUCAACAUCUCGCGGUGAAUACGCCCCUGCUCCUUGCACACACCGCCCGUCAAACCAUCUGAGUUGGGUCUGAGUGAGGGUG
rnacentral:rRNA from 1 species